GUGCUCUCAUCAGCACAUAUACUGAAACUGGAACAAUACAUAGAAGAUUAGCAUGGCCUCUGCGUGAGGAUGACACGCAGAUCCGUGAAGUGUUGCAGUAAAAA
ensembl:snRNA U6 U6 spliceosomal RNA